rnacentral:rRNA from 1 species
AUUGAACGCUGGCGGCAGGCCUAACACAUGCAAGUCGAGCGGUAGAGAGGUGCUUGCACCUCUUGAGAGCGGCGGACGGGUGAGUAAUGCCUAGGAAUCUGCCUAGUGGUGGGGGGAUAACGUUCGGAAACGGACGCUAAUACCGCAUACGUCCUACGGGAGAAAGCGGGGGAUCUUCGGACCUCGCGCCAUUAGAUGAGCCUAGGUCGGAUUAGCUAGUUGGUGAGGUAAUGGCUCACCAAGGCGACGAUCCGUAACUGGUCUGAGAGGAUGAUCAGUCACACUGGAACUGAGACACGGUCCAGACUCCUACGGGAGGCAGCAGUGGGGAAUAUUGGACAAUGGGCGAAAGCCUGAUCCAGCCAUGCCGCGUGUGUGAAGAAGGUCUUCGGAUUGUAAAGCACUUUAAGUUGGGAGGAAGGGUAGUAACCUAAUACGUUGCUACUUGACGUUACCGACAGAAUAAGCACCGGCUAACUUCGUGCCAGCAGCC